rnacentral:lncRNA from 1 species
UUUUUCUGCUGCAGUAAUUGUUAAGUGAUCUCUCUCUGCUCUUAUCUCAACCUAUGAACAUACCAUUAAUAUUUUCUCUUUCCUGCCCAGUUGAGAGGAGAGUGAUGGCAUGGUUUGGUGGCCACCUGGCAUCCAGACAAAGUCAACUACCACACAAAUUAUUAAUUUUCCGUGGAUAUUUUGAAAUCUGUCAUCUUAUAGGUAAGAAGAAACCCUGCUGCAAGAAAGACAGCCAGGACAAGUCACUGAAGUUAUGGUCAUAUGGGAAUGUAUUAAUAAGGCCCAAAGUAUAGCAUGGACCAAUAGCACUAUAAUGAAGUCAAUUGCAUGUAUUAUUUUAAGCCUUAGAAAUGCUACAAUCAAAUUGCAGACAUGAAGUUACAAGAGGGGCCAUUACACUGCUGUAUUUUCUAUAUCUGACUAUAUCUAUCACAGAGCAGCUUGCUGAAACAAACUGAGUAUACUCCUCCUUUGCAAGGGUAAAGCUCUCCCACUGUCAAACCCACAUUUUUUUCCAGUACAGUGUGUUUAACAGAAACCAAAAAUCCUCUGCAAAUAAAAGAUAUCUUUGUUCCA